ACUGUAACAAAUGGAGACUAAAUAAUAUACUAAUUAAUGAUGAAUGGAUAGUAGAAGAAAUUAAGGAUGAAGUAAAAAAAUUCUUAGAGGUAAAUGAGAACACUGAUGCAAUAUAUCACAAUCUCUGGGACACUAUGAAGGCAAUACUAAAAGAAAACUUUAUUGCAUUGCAUUCAUUCAUUAAAAGAAUAAAAAGCCAACAAAUAAAUGAACACUAACACUACACCUCAAAGCCCUAGAAAAAGAAGAACAAAUCAACACUAAAAGUAGUAGAAGACAGGAAAUAAUUAAAAUCAGAGCUGAAACCAAUGAAAUUGAAACAAUUGAAAAAAAUUGACAAAAUAAAAAGUUGAUUCUUUGAAAAAAUAAAUAAAAUAGAUAAACCCCUGGCCAUACUAAUGAAGAGAAAAAGAAAACUCAAAUUACUAAAAUACAAGAUGAAGAAGGAAAUAUCACAAUGGACACAUCUGAAAUACAGAAGAUAAUUAGAAACUAUUUUGAAAAUUUAUAUUCCAACAAAAUUAAAAAUAUUGAAGACAUAAGCAAGUUUCUAGAGACAUAUGACUUACCCAAACUGAAUGAGGAGGUCAUGCAUGUUUUAAGCAAAUCAAUUUCAAGCAAUGAAAUAGAAAAUGCCAUCAAAAGCCUUCCAACCAAGAAAAGCCCAGGACCAGAUGAAUUAUCAGCUGAGUUCUACAAGACUUUCAAAGAAGAAUUAACACCAAUACUCUUCAAAGUAUUCCAUGAAAUAGAAAAGGAAGUAACCUGUCCAAACUCAUUCUAUGAGGCUAAUAUCAUCCUGAUACCAAAACCAAAGACACAUCAAGAAAAGAAAACUUUAAACUAAUAUCCCCAAUGAACAUAGAUGCAAAAAUUCCCAAUAAAAUUCUGGCAAGGGCUGGGAUGUAGCUAGUGGCAAAGCGUCUGCCUUGCAUUCGCAAAGCCCUGGGUUUGACCCCCAGUUCCAAAAAAAAAAAAAAAGAACCCCACCAAAAAAAAUGAUUAAAAAAUUCUGGCAAAUAGCAUACAAAAACAUAUUAAAAAGAUAGUGCACAACGAUCAAGUGGGGUUCAUCCCAGUGAUUCGGGGUUGGUUCGACAUACAAAAAUCAAUACACAUAAUUCUUCAUAUUAAUAGACUUAAAAACAAGAAUCAUAUGGUCAUCUCAAUAGAUGCAGAAAAAGCAUUUGACAAAAUACAGCACCCCUUCAUGUUCAAAACACUAGAAAAACUAGGGAUAGUAGGAACAUAACCUCAACAUUGUAAAAGCUAUAUAUGCUAAGCCCAAGGCCAGCAA
rnacentral:lncRNA from 1 species